AUUACCCUUUUAUUAUUAUAGAUGGAUUUUGGGGGCAGGGAGAUGGAAUAGGAGCUUGCUUCGUCCACUCCACACAUUGACCCAGUAUUGCAGUACCUCUGGGAAUGGUGCACACACA
rnacentral:snRNA from 1 species